UGGGGAAUAUUGCGCAAUGGAGGGAACUCUGACGCAGCAACGCCGCGUGAAGGAUGAAGGCUUUCGGGUUGUAAACUUCUUUGAUCGGGGACGAAGAUGACGGUACCCGAGGAACAAGCCACGGCUAACUACGUGCCAGCAGCCGCGGUAAUACGUAGGUGGCAAGCGUUGUCCGGAAUUACUGGGUGUAAAGGGCGUGUAGGCGGGGCGGCAAGUCAGAUGUGAAAUACCGAAGCUUAACUUCGGGGCUGCAUCUGAAACUGUUUUUCUUGAGUGUCGGAGAGGAAAGCGGAAUUCCCAGUGUAGCGGUGAAAUGCGUAGAGAUUGGGAGGAACACCAGUGGCGAAGGCGGCUUUCUGGACGAUAACUGACGCUGAGGCGCGAAAGCGUGGGUAGCAAACAGG
rnacentral:rRNA from 2 species